UUGAAAGGGAAACGAUUGAAGUCAGUCGUACCUGCGGGUAAUCAGCCUUUUGGGCAUGAUUCCGUGGAGCGUGAGGAGUUAAACGCCUUCAUGCCUGCAUAUUCGUGCUCUUGGGUGUACUUGCUCGUGUGGUUGGUUAACAUCAAUUUCGGUUAUCAUAAAAUGGCUGGAGGAAUGUAGCUUCGAUCUCGUAUUGAAGUGUUAUAGCCUUCGGCAGAUGUGAUGAUUGGGAUUGAGGAUUGCAACGGAUACCCUUCGGGGCUACCUGUCUGAUUUCUGAUCGUUGCUCUGGUGCCGAAAGCUUGCUUACGGUUAUCAAAGUCGAUGGUCAAUAGGUUAGAAUGGGUUAAAUUCGUUAAGGAUGUUGACGUA
rnacentral:rRNA from 2 species